rnacentral:rRNA from 1 species
AUCUACAGCCAUAUCACCCUGAAAGCGCCAAAUCUCGUUUGAUCUCGGAAGCUAAGCAGGGUCGGGCCUCAUUAGUAGUUGGAUGGGAGACCGCCUGGAAAUAUAGGGUGCUGUAGGCU